UACGGCGAGUGAACCGGGAAGAGCUCAAAUUUGAAAUCUGGCGUCCUCAGGGCGUCCGAGUUGUAAUCUAUAGAGGCGUUUUCCGUGCCGGACCGUGUCCAAGUCCCUUGGAACAGGGUAUCAAAGAGGGUGACAAUCCCGUACUUGACACGACUACCGGUGCUCUGUGAUAUGUCUUCUACGAGUCGAGUUGUUUGGGAAUGCAGCUCAAAAUGGGUGGUGAGUUCCAUCUAAAGCUAAAUAUUGGCGAGAGACCGAUAGCGAACAAGUACCGUGAGGGAAAGAUGAAAAGCACUUUGGAAAGAGAGUUAAACAGUACGUGAAAUUGUUGAAAGGGAAACGAUUGAAGUCAGUCGUGACCGAGAGGCUCAGCCGGCUCUGCCGGUGUAUUCCCCUCGGUCGGGUCAACAUCAGUUUUGUCCGGUGGAUAAGGGCGGCAGGAAUGUGGCACCCUCGGGUGUGUUAUAGCCUGCUGUCGCAUACACCGGGUGAGACUGAGGAACGCAGCUCGCCUUUAUGGCCGGGGCCCGCCCACGUACGAGCUUAGGAUGUUGACGUAAUGGCUUUAAACGACCCGCUGA
rnacentral:rRNA from 1 species